rnacentral:rRNA from 1 species
GCACUUUCAGUCGUGAGGAAGGUAGUGUAGUUAAUAGCUGCAUUAUUUGACGUUAGCGACAGAAGAAGCACCGGCUAACUCCGUGCCAGCAGCCGCGGUAAUACGGAGGGUGCGAGCGUUAAUCGGAAUUACUGGGCGUAAAGCGCAUGCAGGUGGUUUGUUUAAGUUCAGAUGUGAAAGACCCGGGGCGUCAACCUCGGAAUAGCAUUUGAAACUAGGCAGACUAGAGUACUGUAGAGGGGGGUAGGAAGUUUCAGGUGUAGCGGUGAAAUAGCGUAGAGAUCUGAAGGAAUACCGGUGGCGAAGGCGGCCCCCUCGGACAGAUACUGACACUCAGAUGCGAAAGCGUGGGGAGCAAACAGGAUUAGAUACCCUGGUAG